rnacentral:lncRNA from 1 species
UUGCUUGGCUUGUAGAGUGGUCCGUGCAAUUGCCAUUCUUAGAUGGGGAUGCAUGAACCAGAGACCGGAAGAGUCCUUUGUCUUCUUGUUCUUGUUCAAUAUCUGAAAAAGAAUCACCAACCCAGAAACGACCAUCAAGCAGCUGUGAGGGCUCAAAAGAAAAGAAAGAAGAAACAUGCGCUGCAUGAACAACCCACCUGCACCCACCAACAAUAACCUACAAUGAUUUUGUCA